rnacentral:rRNA from 1 species
ACGGGAGGCAGCAGUGAGGAAUAUUGGUCAAUGGGCGGAAGCCUGAACCAGCCAAGUCGCGUGAAGGAUGAAGGUAUUAUGUAUUGUAAACUUCUUUAGACGCAGAGAAAUAAGGGGCUCGAGAGCCCUGAUGCUAGUAUGCGUAGAAUAAGCAUCGGCUAACUCCGUGCCAGCAGCCGCGGUAAUACGGAGGAUGCGAGCGUUAUCCGGAUUUAUUGGGUUUAAAGGGUGCGUAGGCGGAUGAUUAAGUCUGUGGUGAAAGCGUGCGGCUCAACCGUACCGAGCCAUGGAAACUGGUUGUCUUGAGUGUAAACGAGGUAGGCGGAAUGUGACAUGUAGCGGUGAAAUGCUUAGAUAUGUCACAGAACUCCGAUUGCGAAGGCAGCUUACCAGCAUACAACUGACGCUGAGGCACGAAAGCGUGGGUAUCAAACAGGAUUAGAUACCCUGGUA